CCACGUGGACUUUACUGAAGUCCCCCACGUGCAGAGGUGGAAAUUCUUGUUAGUAAUAACAGACCAUCUUCCCCAUUGGGUGGAAGCUGUUCCCAGUGUCAGAGCCACAGCCAAUGUAGAAUGUAAAACCCUCUUAGAACAAAUUAUUCCCAGGUAUGGAAUGAUUACUAAGAUAGACACACUUUACAUCAAAAGUUUUACAGCAACUAACUCAAGCCUUAAGAAUCAAACGAGAACUACAUAGCCCAUGGCACCCAGAGAGUUCAGGACGGGUAGAGAGGAUGAAACAAACUUUAAAGAGAACCUUAACAACUGAAUUAAUAAUUGAAACUCAAAUGUCAUGGGUAAAAUGCCAACCUCUGGCUUUAUUGAGAGUUCAGACACAACCAGGUCAGACGUGAGAGUGUCACCUUACAAAAUGAUGGUUGGUGUUGAAGAUGAAAGUUUGGUAAGAAAGUUUUGCAGAUAUGUGGGCUCGGCUGAGAGAUCUCUGAGUGUGGAGCCUGAGGAUGGGACAGAAAUGGAAGCAGGUUUUGAUGUAGAGUGGAAGAUGUUUGCUGAAACAUUGAUCACUGAAUGGGUGAGAGGACAAAGGUUGGAGAUGAGCUGGAAGGAGAUUUUUGUGCUUAGAACAGAGGUAUGUGACUGCAAACAAGGACAUGUUUUUCACCGGGUGGGUGGGUCCCAGGAAGAGCUGAAGUAAAUAGGAAACAUGUUUUUGCCAGGAAGAGCUAUGGCAGGCAGACAAGGAAUGUUGAUGUGGCAGGAAGAAGAGAGGUCUGAGAGUGUUCCAUUGUGAGCUUGAAUUGUAGCUUGCUUGCUCUUGUGAUUGGAUGGUGGUGACUCUAGGGUUCUAUAAGAUAUGUACAGUACGGUGGUGGUAGUACCUAAGAUAGGCUAUAGGCAAAUGUAAAGGUGUUGUGUCUGGUGCUUGUUGGUUGUUAUGUCUUGGGAUACUCAGCAAAGAAAGAUGUACAAUGCUCUCUUGAACAGAAAGAGGCUUCAGUUAUGCCUACAAGCUGUGGCUGACAGCUGUGGGGCUGGCUCUGGAUACCCACUCCCUGAAAUGCUUUUGUGACUUUUCCUAUGCAAUAAACAGCUUUCAAGAGAGCUGCCUGAAGUCCAGACAUCCUUCAUGAACCCUUUUCCUAUAGUUUGGGUUACCCUUUUUGAACACACAACAUGAAACUGCUACCUAUGAAUUAGGGGAAUGAGUGUUAAAGAAUAUGUCAACACAAUUGCAAGGACCCUUGAAGAUUUGCGGUUCAAAGGGAUAAUCCCUCAAACCACUCCUUUAGACUUUAAAAUCCGUAACAUCCAUCCAGGGGAGUGGGUGUUAGUAAAAACAUGGAAGGAGCAAUCUUUAGCUGCACAAGGGAAAGGUCCUUUUCAGGUGCUACUGACAACUGAGGCAGCGAUCCGGGCCAAGGAGCGAGGGUGGAUCCACGGCAGCAGAAUCAAAGGACCCGUGCAGGAACCUAAGGAGUGGACUAGAACAUCUAAGCCUGGGGAUACCAAGUUCACAGAAACGACACUCUCACUGCACGAAGUGUAGAACGCCAAAUCUAUUCCCCAAUCCAGGCAGAGCAAAGAACAGCUGAAACAGUAACCCUGCUUUGUGGAUGGGAAUUACUAGUGCCUGUUGAAUGGGAGAUACCUGAGGAACGGUGGGAAGCUACAAUUAAGAAGUGUCAAAAGCAAUUUGCCUGGAAAUCAGCGAAAAGGAAGUGACGAGGAAAUAGAGGGCAAGGCCCGAUGACCACUGUAGCUGCCACCAAGAAGAUCACAUACCCCUGCUGUGGGCAGCAGCCCCAUAGGCACGGGGGGGUGGAGGUAUCGGCCAUAUGGGACCUCUGUUAUUCCUUUAUCUGUCACUCCUCUUUUGUCUCUGCCCUCUGGGGAUACCGACACAGCCACGCCAUGGGUGUUACCGAAAGCUGUACAUGGAAAACACCCAGGUUCCUUUUUCAUUGCACGUACCCAUGUCAACAGUCUCUGUUACAACCCAUCCAAAGUAGAAAACUGGAUGCAAAAUGGGAAAAAGCACUGGACUGUAGAAAACCUAGGAAUGAGUGGGAGCAGGUUGGGAAGUAAAUGUCCAAAAGGGGAGAGAUGGGUUUGUUUCGCAUCUAUUGUUGGGAAUAAAGUCUCAAGCUUAGUAAAAGAACAACUAGUAAAUAAAGAGGCAAAGCCAGCACAACAAUCUAACUCUGUAUCGACCCCAGUUCAAGACAUGUAGUUGAAACUCAAAAAACAA